UAUGUGCUUGCACAUUUUGAACGUCGACCGGCGCACGGGUGAGUAUCGCGUAUCCAACCUUCCCUCCACUCGGGGAUACCCCGUUGAAAGACGGCCUAAUACCCGAUGUUGUCCACAUAUGGCAUCUGACGUGGACCAAAGAUUCAUCGGUGGAGGAUGGGGAUGCGUCUGAUUAGCUUGUUGGUGCGGGUAACGGCCCACCAAGGCGACGAUCAGUAGGGGUUCUGAGAGGAAGGUCCCCCACAUUGGAACUGAGACACGGUCCAAACUCCUACGGGAGGCAGCAGUGAGGAAUAUUGGUCAAUGGACGUAAGUCUGAACCAGCCAAGUAGCGUGCAGGAUUGACGGCCCUAUGGGUUGUAAACUGCUUUUGUUGGGGAGUAAAGUGAGGCACGUGUGCCUUUUUGCAUUUACCCUUCGAAUAAGGACCGGCUAAUUCCGUGCCAGCAGCCGCGGUAAUACGGAAGGUCCAGGCGUUAUCCGGAUUUAUUGGGUUUAAAGGGAGUGUAGGCGGUCUGUUAAGCGUGUUGUGAAAUUUAGGUGCUCAACAUCUACCUUGCAGCGCGAACUGGCGGACUUGAGUGCACGCAACGUAUGCGGAAUUCAUGGUGUAGCGGUGAAAUGCUUAGAUAUCAUGACG
rnacentral:rRNA from 1 species